AUCCAAGUGCACGGGUUUUACGUUACCAGUGAAGGUUCGCCUGAGGCAACGUUUUUGCUAGUUGAAAACUACAACUACUGACCACUCCAUGUUGGUCUUCGGAUCGGCUGGGAAUUUUUGAACAACUACUACUGCCAACCAUUUAUUUGCCCUUGAACUGGGACACAAUAGU
rnacentral:snRNA from 1 species